ACGAACGCUGGCGGCGUGCCUAAUACAUGCAAGUCGAACGCUUCUUUCCUCCCGAGUGCUUGCACUCAAUUGGAAAGAGGAGUGGCGGACGGGUGAGUAACACGUGGGUAACCUACCCAUCAGAGGGGGAUAACACUUGGAAACAGGUGCUAAUACCGCAUAACAGUUUAUGCCGCAUGGCAUAAGAGUGAAAGGCGCUUUCGGGUGUCGCUGAUGGAUGGACCCGCGGUGCAUUAGCUAGUUGGUGAGGUAACGGCUCACCAAGGCCACGAUGCAUAGCCGACCUGAGAGGGUGAUCAGCCACACUGGGACUGAGACACGGCCCAGACUCCUACGGGAGGCAGCAGUAGGGAAUCUUCGGCAAUGGACGAAAGUCUGACCGAGCAACGCCGCGUGAGUGAAGAAGGUUUUCGGAUCGUAAAACUCUGUUGUUAGAGAAGAACAAGGACGUUAGUAACUGAAUGUCCCCUGACGGUAUCUAACCAGAAAGCCACGGCUAACUACGUG
rnacentral:rRNA from 1 species